AGGGUCUCGGAGGACAUUAUCGAGUUUUGAAGUGGGGUUUGUAGCUGGCGUUCAUUCGCACUGUGCUCGGCCUCCGCUCAUCCACUCAACCCCUGUGCACUUUCAAAGUCGUUGGAUCCUCCGUCAUGGGAGCAGCUCUUUAUUGAGUCGGGAUCUACACUUUGCUAUUAUAAACUUAUUGAUGUUAUGUGAAUGUGUUUGCCUUCGGGCUGAACUUAAAUACAACUUUCAACAACGGAUCUCUUGGCUCUCGCAUCGAUGAAGAACGCAGCGAAAUGCGAUAAGUAAUGUGAAUUGCAGAAUUCAGUGAAUCAUCGAAUCUUUGAACGCACCUUGCGCUCCUUGGUAUUCCGAGGAGCAUGCCUGUUUGAGUGUCAUGUUAAUCUCACUUUCCUUGACUUUGUUGUCUCGGAUAAGUGGACUUGAAGGCUGCCGGCCCCCUUAGGGGUCAGGCUCCUUUCGAAUGUAUUAGCUGGGCUUUCGCUCGUCCUUUGGUGUGAUAGUUUUAUUCACUAUCGGACUUGUGAUUUCGGUCUGCUUCUAAUCGUCUUCGGACACAUUCUUGACUCUGACCUCAAAUCAGGUAGGACUACCCGCUGAACUUAAGCAUAUCAUAAGGCGGAGGAAUUUAUCUUUCAUC
rnacentral:rRNA from 1 species